UACGGGGGGGGCAAGCGUUGUUCGGAAUUACUGGGCGUAAAGGGCUCGUAGGUGGCCAACUAAGUCAGACGUGAAAUCCCUCGGCUUAACCGGGGAACUGCGUCUGAUACUGGAUGGCUUGAGAUUGGGAGAGGGAUGCGGAAUUCCAGGUGUAGGGGUGAAAUGCGUAGAUAUCUGGAGGAACACCGGUGGCGAAGGCGGCAUCCUGGACCAACACUGACACUGAGGAGCGAAAGCCAGGGGAGCAAACGGG
rnacentral:rRNA from 1 species